UACGGAGGGUGCAAGCGUUACUCGGAAUUACUGGGCGUAAGAGCGUGUAGGCGGGUAAAUAAGUUGGAAGUGAAAUCCUAUGGCUCAACCAUAGAACUGCUUCCAAACUGUUAACCUAGAAUGUGGGAGAGGUAGAUGGAAUUUCUGGUGUAGGGUAAAUCCGUAGAUAUCAGAAGGAAUACCGAUUGCGAAGGCGAUCUACUGGAACACAAUUGACGCUGAGACGCGAAAGCGUGGGGAGCAAACAGGAUUAGAUACCCCCCGUAGU
rnacentral:rRNA from 1 species